rnacentral:rRNA from 1 species
AUUGAACGCUGGCGGCGUGCUUAACACAUGCAAGUCGAUCGGUAACAGGUGUAGCAAUACAUGCUGACGAGAGGCGGACGGGUGAGUAAUGCUUGGGAAUCUGCCUAUUAGUGGGGGACGAACCCGGGGAAACGUCGGGCUAAUACCGCAUACGCUCUACGGAGGAAAGCCGGGGACCGCAAGGCCUGGCGCUAAUAGAUGAGCCCAAGUCGGAUUAGCUAGUUGGUAGGGUAACGGCCUACCAAGGCGACAAUCCGUAGCUGGUCUGAGAGGACGACCAGCCACACCGGAACUGAGACACGGUCCGGACUCCUACGGGA